UACGAAGGGGGCUAGCGUUGUUCGGAAUUACUGGGCGUAAAGCGUGCGCAGGCGGCUUCUCAAGUCAGGGGGUGAAAGCCCAGAGCUUAACUCUGGAAUUGCCUUUGAGACUGAGAGGCUUGAGUACGGGAGAGGUGAGUGGAAUUCCCAGUGUAGAGGUGAAAUUCGUAGAUAUUGGGAAGAACACCGGUGGCGAAGGCGAUCACCUGGGGUUGUUCUGACGCUGAGGAGCGAAAGCUAGGGGAGCAAACGGG
rnacentral:rRNA from 1 species